rnacentral:rRNA from 1 species
AAGUCGAGGGGUAAAUAUUGUAGCAAUACGAUAUGAGACCGGCGCACGGGUGCGUAACACGUAUGCAACCUACCUUUUACUGGGGUAUAGCUCCGAGAAAUCGGAAUUAAUCCCCCAUAACACUGCGAUGAGGCAUCUCGAUGCAGUUAAAGCUCCGGCGGUAAAGGAUGGGCAUGCGGUACAUUAGCUAGUUGGUGAGGUAAUGGCUCACCAAGGCUACGAUGUAUAGGGGGUCUGAGAGGAUGAUCCCCCACACUGGUACUGAGACACGGACCAGACUCCUACGGGAGGCAGCAGUAGGGAAUAUUGGUCAAUGGACGCAAGUCUGAACCAGCCAUGCCGCGUGCAGGAUGACAGCCCUAUGGGUCGUAAACUGCUUUUAUAAGGGAAGAAACCCCUGGAUGCGUCCGGGGCUGACGGUACCUUAUGAAUAAGGAUCGGCUAACUUCGUGCCAGCAGCCGCGGUAAGACGAAGGAUCCAAGCGUUGUCCGGAUUUACUGGGUUUAAAGGGUGCGUAGGCGGAGUGCUAAGUCAGUGGUGAAAGCCCGCAGCUUAACUGCGGAACUGCCAUUGAAACUGGCAUUCUUGAAUACGGUGGAGGUAGAUGGAAUAUAACAUGUAGCGGUGAAAUGCUUAGAUAUGUUAUAGAACACCGAUUGCGAAGGCAGUCUGCUACACCGUGAUUGACGCUGANGCACGAAAGCGUGGGGAGCAAACAGGAUUAGAUACCCUGGUAGUCCACGCCCUAAACGUUGAUUACUCGCUGUUGGCGAUACACUGUCAGCGGCUAAGCGAAAGCGUUAAGUAAUCCACCUGGGAAGUACGUCCGCAAGGAUGAAACUCAAAGGAAUUGACGGGGGCCNNCACAAGCGGAGGA